rnacentral:rRNA from 1 species
UGCGUAGGCGGGCUAAUAAGUCAGUGGUGAAAUCUCUCGGCUCAACCGGGAAACUGCCAUUGAUACUGUUAGUCUUGAGUUCGGUUGAGGUAGGCGGAAUGUGUAAUGUAGCGGUGAAAUGCUUAGAUAUUACACAGAACACCAAUUGCGUAGGCAGCUUACUAGACCGACACUGACGCUGAGGCACGAAAGCGUGGGGAGCAAACAGGAUUAGAUACCCUGGUAGUCC